AUUUCAUAAUCAAUUGACAACCAUAAUGUUAAACCAUUUACAUUUAUAAAUCACUUAAAUCCACUUGAUAAAAUCCAUUUACCAUAUCCAAUAACAUCCAAUACAAGAAAAUGAAACAAAAUGGAAAAAAGGGCAGUGGUAAUUGAAAAAAGUUGCAGCCAAAACCUGAUAUAGCCCGUUCAUAAGCUAACGAAGCACAAACUGCCACUCACACCAUUAAGCCAAACUCCAAACGCUGCAAGAAACGAUAAGCCACCUGCAAAAGAAAGAAAAACGCAUUUGCUAAAGAAGCUAAACGGCGCCAAACCAAAACUGAUAAGUGCUUCCAAAAACUGCAGCAUCAAUAACAACAACACUAGCCAUCCCAGCUACAAACCAAGCGUCGGUAAACGCAGCUAACAUCAAACUGCACAACAACAAAGUUGCAGUGAAAAAAAGCAGAAACGGCGACGGAAACAACGCAACACAACUACAAUAAAACUCAAAGCUACCGCCAAACACCGACAAAACAAUGUAGCAAACCAAAAACAAAGCUGAAAUGCAGAAAACAAAUGCUUGCCAAACCUACCCAAACACCGACAAUGUAAAUCAACCACCACCAAAAAGCUGCUACGGCUCAAAGCUACCAAACCUGCAUUAACAAAGUUCUGCAUAUCAAAACCAUUUAUUUAACCUGCAUAAAAAUCCUGCAAAAAAAAGAACGAUAACAAAAUCGCCAAACGAAAUCCAUAACAGAAAAAACUAACUUCUAACCUCACUCUCAUCACUCUAUAAAUACAAACCUUCACUCUUCAUCUAAACGGUUUUUUUUCAUCUUCAUUCACUCUCUCAACAUCACCUUCAUCAUCUUCUUCAAUCAGUUUCUUUCCCUAACCGCAUCAUUCUUCCACCACCGUCAACACCGCUUCAACCACCGUGAACUCAAUCCUAAUAACAGAGUAACGAAUCACAAUCACGUCUGCAGAACGCUCAACAAAUCCACAGAAAUUGCAAUAAUAGGACAAAAAUACAUAUAGAAGAAGGAGAGGAGAGCAUAUUGAAGAAAAAGCACGAAGGGAGAAAAAGAAGCCCACGUUCUUCAUCGACUCGGUGCGAUCUUGGUCGAAGGUAGGUGCUAUUUGGAUUCGAAUUCGGUGUUGCUCUCGUAGUGUUUCCCAGGCAUUCCUCCUCCAUAGGAGGAUAGGAUUUUGGAUCGAUUGGUUUAUAUUUCGUAGGAUAUUUCGAUUCGAUUUGGUAGGAAUUAAAAGGGAUUAGUGUUAUAUUUAGGAGUUGAUAAUUUGAGUUGGUGAAGGAGAGGUAAGCGUAAACAUGCUAGAUGGUUCCCAGGGAUUAACAUGGAUGUGAGGGGUACUAAUACCUUCCCCUUGCAUAACCGACUUCCGAACUUGUUCGUGGUUGCGAUGACCAUUCUUUGGGGUUUUCUCGAUAUUUUCCCAUUCCUUUGGAAUAAAUAAAAAUCGAUGGUGACUCUGUAUUUUUUUCGUAGCGACAGCUGACGACUUUGCUGGGGAUACCUUCCUAAGCAAGUCAAGCCUAAUCUAGGUUGAUUCCUCGCGUGUAUGGGUGCUUAUCCUUUUGAUAUUGCUUGCCUUAUUUGUCGCCUUGUGCUUUAAAUUUUGUAAUCUAUUAUGUGGUUCCACGAUUCGAUGGUAGUGAUGGAUGGUACUUCGAUUGCAAGAAGCCUUGUGGGAAAGACUCUCUACCCGAGUCUAUAGUGCAAACUUGAGAUAGGAGAGGUUGAGUAGUAUGGGCCACUGAGGAGAUUUUCUCGUAAGGGUUGAUACGAGAACCUCGCUUAGAGUAGAUUCUUUUGGAGAUUUUGACGGCCGUCAAGCUUUUGACGUAAGCGAUCAAUGUUUUCAUUAGGAUCCAUGACUCUAAAGACCUUUAUAGAACAUUAAACCUUGACCAAUUAAGAUUGAUGGUCACGUAGUACGGGUCCCCGAGAAGCUUUUCUCGUGAGGGUUGGUACGAAGAUCUCACUCAAAGUAGAUUUUCUUGAUGGAGUUGUCGAUCGGAAAACUUUUGCUGUAAGCGGCAAACAGUCAAGGAGGUUCGUGACUUUGAGACCUUUGUCUAGAACCCGAUGUCGAUGGUCGCGUAGUAUGGGUCCCCGAGAAGCCUUUCUCGUGUGGAUCGGUACGAAGAUCUCACCCAGAAGAGGCUCAUUUGAGGGAGUUAACGACCGACAAGCUUUUUUUGUAAGCUGCUAAACCCGUUCAUAAGCUAACGAAGCACAAGCUACCACUCACACCAUUAAGCCAAACUCCAAACGCUGCAAGAAACGAUGAGCCACCUGCAAAAGAAAGAAAAACUUGUCUGCUAAAGAAGCUAAAC
rnacentral:lncRNA from 1 species